GAAAAUCUGUGUCUCUGGCAUACAUACAGUAUGCCAGUAUAAGAAUCCUAUAUGCCGGGAUAGAAUCAGAUUAGUUGUAUCAUGUAGAUGGGCCUGUAUCAAGGUGUGUGCAAUUAACUUAUAACAGAGUCAGAGAUUUCACUAAGCCAAAAAAUUAUUCCACCCACGGUGGCAGGGUGGGAGUAAUAACCCAUUGAGUGGCGAUGCACCCUACUUUAGCAUUUUACUCUGUCUAACGCCAGACAAUUUUACUCGUCAAGGGGAGAGCGCUGGCGCUUAAUGGGUUAAGAUGAAAAGGGAGGGAAAUAUUUGUAUAGUGCGCAUAAUUAUUGGAUGAUUUUAUAUCCAGACUCUAUAUUCGAUGUACUACGUACAUUAGGUUUUCAUAAAGAACAGUAGAUUAUCAUGGGGAUUUAUUUGAGAGGGUGUGCUUUUUAUACACAUGGUUGUUAACUGUCACAAACAUAUAGACUUUCUUUUUGCUGAAAGGCCUAUGACAAUGUUAAAUUAGUUAAAUUAUUGAGAGGGGG